GACGAACGCUGGCGGCGUGCUUAACACAUGCAAGUCGAACGGAAAGGCCCUGCUUUUGUGGGGUGCUCGAGUGGCGAACGGGUGAGUAACACGUGAGUAACCUGCCCUUGACUUUGGGAUAACUUCAGGAAACUGGGGCUAAUACCGGAUAGGAGCUCCUGCUGCAUGGUGGGGGUUGGAAAGUUUCGGCGGUUGGGGAUGGACUCGCGGCUUAUCAGCUUGCUGGUGGGGUAGUGGCUUACCAAGGCUUUGACGGGUAGCCGGCCUGAGAGGGUGACCGGCCACAUUGGGACUGAGAUACGGCCCAGACUCCUACGGGAGGCAGCAGUGGCGAGUAUUGCACAAUGGGCGGAAGCCUGAUGCAGCAGCGCCGCGUGCGGGAUGACGGCCUUCGGGUUGUAAACCGCUUUCGCCUGUGACGAAGCGUGACUGACGGUAAUGGAUAAAUAAGCACCGGCUAACUACGUG
rnacentral:rRNA from 1 species